ensembl:lncRNA
UACUCGGAGAGGGAUACUGGCUACUGUCAACAGUCUCUUCGACCCACUUGGGUUCGUUGCCCCUGUCAUCAUUGAAGGGAAAUUCCUGCUACGAGAACUCUCAGGUGAGACUUGUGACUGGGAUUCUCCCCUCCCUGAAGACAAGGAAGAAGCAUGGAAUGCAUGGAGGAGAUCCCUACAAGAUCUAAAACAGCUGGAGAUUCCUAGAACAUAUGUUUAUACUGCUCUCUCUACAGCUCUGAGGAAGGAACUCCACAUUUUCUCUGAUGCUUCUGUCAAAGCGAUUGCAGCAGUGGCAUAUCUUCGUGUCAUCAAUGGCGAAGGAGCAUGCCACACUGGGUUCAUAUUGGGGAAGGCCAAAUUAGCUCCACAAGCUGCUCAUACCAUUCCCAGGCUGGAACUAGGAGCUGCGGUUUUAGCUGCAGAGAUAGCAGAGAUAAUCACAAACGAGCUGGACUUCACUUUAGAUGCUGUGGAGUUUUACACGGAUAGUAGAGUCGUCCUGGGGUACAUCUAUAACCAGACAAGACGGUUCUAUGUAUACGUAGCCAACAGAGUGCAGCGUAUCCAUAGAGUGUCAAACCCAAUGCAAUGGCACUAUGUGUCUACUAAGCAUAACCCUGCAGAUCAUGCCACCCGCUCCGUUCCUGCAGCUCUGUUGGGCACCACCACCUGGUUUACAGGACCUGCCUUCCUGUCGCAAAUGGAUCAGAAUCUGUCUCUGGAGGAGAGGGAAUUUGACCUCCUCGGGCCAGAGUUGGACACAGAAGUUCGCCCUCUUGCUACUACUGUAUCCGAUGAUUUUCAUCUUGAAUGUCAACGAUUCGAGCGAUUCUCUUCUUGGAGGUCAUUAGUCAGAGCCAUAGCUUUUCUCAUACAUGUCGCCCAGACUUACAAGUCGUCUGAUGAUAGAGAAAGAGCCUGCAGCUCAUGGCACUACUGUGCUAAGCCUCGUACAGUGAAAGAGUUGUUACAAGCAGAGGAAGUUGUAAUCAAGAGUAUUCAGAGGGAAGCUUACCAAGAAGAGCUCACCUGCAUCGCCAAAAAAGAUGACAUCCCGAGGCACAGUGCUCUGAAAAAACUGAACCCUUACGUAGAUAGUAGAGGUCUUCUCAGGAUAGGAGGUCGGCUUAAAAAUGCAACUUUGGAUCUCCAAGAGAAGUUUCCUUUGAUUGUUCCAGGACGCAGUCAUGCUGCGAAGCUACUUGUGGAGUAUUACCAUGAUCGAGUCAAGCAUCAGGGUCGUGUGUUUACUGAAUCAGCUAUCCGCAAUGCAGGGUAUUGGAUUGUUGGUGUUAGGAAGCUUAUCAACAGCAUUGUACACAAGUGCAUCGUAUGCAACAAGCUUCGUGGGAAGGUAACUGAGCAGAAGAUGGCGGACUUGCCCAUCGAUCGCCUGAGCACUGAACCUCCCUUCACGAACGUCGGUCUUGAUGUUUUUGGACCUUGGACAGUUGUCGCAAGGCGCACGCGAGGAGGACAAGCUCAGAGCAAAAGAUGGGCUGUUCUUUUCACUUGUAUGAGUAUUCGUGCCAUACAUAUUGAGCUGAUUGACAGUAUGGAUUCAUCCACCUUUAUAAACGCCUUGAGAAGGUUUUUUGCUCUACGAGGUCCUGUCAAACAAAUUCGGUCUGAUUGCGGGACCAAUUUUGUAGGAGCCUGUAAAGAGCUGGAAAUUGUGGUAAAUGAUCCUCAAGAGCCUAGUGUGAGGAAGUACCUGAGUGGAGAGGGUUGUUCAUGGGUCUUCAAUCCACCUCAUGCAUCCCACAUGGGAGGAGCCUGGGAGCGGAUGAUAGGAGUCUCCAGGCGCAUACUAGAUUCCAUGCUCCAACAGAUCAGUCCUUCCCGCUUGACACAUGAAGUGUUGUCCACCUUGAUGGCAGAGGUUACAGGAAUCGUUAAUUCAAGACCCCUUGUUCCUAUUUCAACAGACCCAGAUUCACCUUUCUUGUUAACGCCAGCCAUGCUCCUAACUCAAAAGGGUCAUACACUCCUCCCACCUCCAGGUGAUUUCAAGGAAACCAAUCUCCAUAGACAGCAAUGGAGAAGGGUGCAACAUCUUGCUAAUACUUUCUGGAAUAGAUGGAGGCGUGAAUACCUCUCAACGCUUCAAAGCCGAAGCAAAUGGCAAGAGGAACGACGAAAUCUAAGAGAGGGCGAUGUUGUCCUUCUUAAGGAUGCUCAAAGUAAGCGCAAUGAAUGGCCUAUGGCUCUUGUGACCAAGACUUUUCCUGGCAGUGACAAAAGAGUCAGAACGGUUGAACUAAGAGUUGCAAGGAAUGGGACAAUCAAGACAUUCCUCAGACCUAUAUCGGAAACAGUUCUGCUCAUGCCAACGGAGGACUGAUAUUUGUGAGGUCUUAUGUGAACAUUCUCAGGUUAUAUGGUGGUAUCUAAACAAUACCAGGCGGGGAGUGUCAUGACAUACAUUUGUUUUU